UACGAAGGGUGCAAGCGUUACUCGGAAUUACUGGGCGUAAAGCGUGCGUAGGUGGUUGUUUAAGUCUGUUGUGAAAGCCCUGGGCUCAACCUGGGAAUUGCAGUGGAUACUGGGCGACUAGAGUGUGGUAGAGGGUAGUGGAAUUCCCGGUGUAGCAGUGAAAUGCGUAGAGAUCGGGAGGAACAUCCAUGGCGAAGGCAGCUACCUGGACCAACUCUGACACUGAGGCACGAAAGCGUGGGGAGCAAACAGG
rnacentral:rRNA from 1 species